AUGUCGUCCAUGGCAGCGUCGUCCUGCAAAUUAGAAUUGGAGAAGAGGCAGAGAAGAUCGAAGGUGGUAGAAAUCAGCGAGAUGAACAUGCGAAUCCGCGAAGCGGAGAAGAGACUUAACGGUGGCUGCUGUGCCGUUUCAGCGAGGAAGAAGAGACAGUGGCAUUGUUUUCAUGAAGAUCAAAAGCCACUUCUCUUAACCCUAACGAGACUCUCCAAAACGACUUCGUUUCUUC